AGAGUUUGAUCAUGGCUCAGAUUGAACGCUGGCGGCAGGCCUAACACAUGCAAGUCGAGCGGAAACGAGAAGUAGCUUGCUACUUCGGCGUCGAGCGGCGGACGGGUGAGUAAUGCAUAGGAAGUUGCCCAGUAGAGGGGAUAACCAUUGGAAACGAUGGCUAAUACCGCAUAACCUCUUCGGAGCAAAGCGGGGACCUUCGGCCUCGCGCUACUGGAUACGCCUAUGUGGAUUAGCUAGUUGGUGAGGUAAUGGCUCACCAAGGCGACGAUCCCUAGCUGGUCUGAGAGGAUGAUCAGCCACACUGGGACUGAGACACGGCCCAGACUCCUACGGAGGCAGUGGGGAAUAUUGCACAAUGGGCGAAAGCCUGAUGCAGCCAUGCCGCGUGUAUGAAGAAGGCCUUCGGGUUGUAAAGUACUUUCAGUUGUGAGGAAGGUUUCGUAGUUAAUAACUGCGUUGCUUGACGUUAGCAACAGAAGAAGCACCGGCUAACUCCGUGCCAGCAGCCGCGGUAAUACGGAGGGUGCGAGCGUUAAUCGGAAUUACUGGGCGUAAAGCGCAUGCAGGUGGUUUGUUAAGUCAGAUGUGAAAGCCCGGGCUCAACCUCGGAAGGUCAUUUGAAACUGGCAAACUAGAGUACUGUAGAGGGGGUAGAAUUUCAGGUGUAGCGGUGAAAUGCGUAGAGAUCUGAAGGAAUACCAGUGGCGAAGGCGGCCCCUGACAGAUACUGACACUCAGAUGCGAAAGCGUGGGGAGCAAACAGGAUUAGAUACCCUGGUAGUCCACGCCGUAAACGAUGUCUACUUGGAGGUUGUGGCCUUGAGCCGUGGCUUUCGGAGCUAACGCGUUAAGUAGACCGCCUGGGGAGUACGGUCGCAAGAUUAAAACUCAAAUGAAUUGACGGGGCCCGCACAAGCGGUGGAGCAUGUGGUUUAAUUCGAUGCAACGCGAAGAACCUUACCUACUCUUGACAUCCAGAGAACUUUCCAGAGAUGGAUUGGUGCCUUCGGGAACUCUGAGACAGGUGCUGCAUGGCUGUCGUCAGCUCGUGUUGUGAAAUGUUGGGUUAAGUCCCGCAACGAGCGCAACCCUUAUCCUUGUUUGCCAGCGAGUAAUGUCGGGAACUCCAGGAGACUGCCGGUGAUAAACCGGAGGAAGGUGGGGACGACGUCAAGUCAUCAUGGCCCUACGAGUAGGGCUACACACGUGCUACAAUGGCGCAUACAGAGGGCAGCAAGCUAGCGAUAGUGAGCGAAUCCCAAAAAGUGCGUCGUAGUCCGGAUUGGAGUCUGCAACUCGACUCCAUGAAGUCGGAAUCGCUAGUAAUCGUGGAUCAGAAUGCCACGGUGAAUACGUUCCCGGGCCUUGUACACACCGCCCGUCACACCAUGGGAGUGGGCUGCAAAAGAAGUAGGUAGUUUAACCUUCGGGAGGACGCUUACCACUUUGUGGUUCAUGACUGGGGUGAAGUCGUAACAAGGUAGCCCUAGGGGAACCUGGGGCUG
rnacentral:rRNA from 1 species